AAAUGAACAAUGAAUGAAUAAUCACUCGUCCUGGAUUUGACCUUUAACCUUGGAUGUUAAGCCUGACAUUCUUGCAGCCCAUGUCUCUGACGCAUGCAGCACGUGAGCAGCAAUAAUUCAGCGCACCUGGAGUUAUAGUCGCGUGAUUGAUGCGCGUGAUUGAUGCGCGUGAAAUAGGUGGCUAAUUGAGAUUAGCUUCCAAUUUACCCCCUCACACACACACAAAAAAAAACGCGUUUGGAAGUGAAACGAAAAAGAGAUUAAACACACGCUUUACAGUGAAAUUACACCAAAAUGACACGACAGGAUUGCAGCUGUGUGGGUGAAAAGGAAGGCUGCAGAUUAGUCCAUUGAUACUCUCUCGACAAAACCAAACCUCCAAGUCUUCAAUAGCUCCUCCAGUCCGGUCCAGGAAAGUCUGAAACAAAGCCGAGAGUGUGUGUAUAUGAGAGAGAGAGAGAUGUCCUCUCCUUUCACACACACACACAGGGAUAUUUGUUCUUAAGAGCGGAUUAAGAAAAUGUCCAGCACCUAAUUGGGCUGUCUGGACUGAGAUUUAAAGGAGAAGUCCACCCUGAAACACGUUAAAUACCUAUCCAUUGAUCAAACCAUGUCGUGACCAGUGAUUCGGCUUAAUUAAUUUGAUAAGUCGGUGCUGUAUGACCAUUAUUCCUGGGAGAAGAUGGAGGGUAUGUGCUGUGACGACGUCAAAGCUUGCCAAGGCUUUUCAGCACAAAGAAAAAGUAGCUAAAAGUCGCCAUGUUGGUUAAUUUGCGUGUUCAUCGCACCUUCAUUAUCCUCUGCAUAUCAAAAAGCCAGAGAGUCUUUUCUGAAUUUUUUUUUUUUUUUUUUUUUAAAUCAGAAUAUAAAAUGACUUCUUUCCUAGAGCCACGAAUUAACUUUAGUCAAGCAAACUAUUUGUGCAUAUUUGUAUUAAAAUAAAUUUAAGUGCUACUGGGUUCCUCAGUGGCACAACGGAAAAGCCAUGGCCCUAACUCCUGUUGAUGGGAUCAAUAAGAAUAUCGAGGAUGCUACCACUGCAACUGAUAUAAACAGCUCUUUACUGAAGUUUACGAAAGCGUGAGAAAUUCCUGGUUACGCAAUUGCACUUUUUGACCAUGCUGGCUAGUACACGGUUAUAGAAGGGAAUUCUUUAUCAUUGCGUUAUUCGUUGUCACCCAGAUGAGGAUGGGGUUCCCUUUUGAGUCUGGUUCCUCUCGAGAUUUCUUCUUGUCGUCUCAGGGAGCUGCUCGUUAGGGAUGAAUAAACGGUUUAUAUCCUGAGAUGAUAUAUUUCUGUAAUAUUAAUAUACACUGAUCAGUCGUAACAUUAAAACCACUCAGAGGUAAUUCUCACGUUGAUUAUCUCGUUACAAUGGGGUAUAUUUGGGAGCGCGUGAACGAGGGGGAAAAGGCAAGCCAGCAGAGGCAGUGUGAUGCUCUGGGCAAUGUUCUGCUGGGAAACCUUGGGUCUUGGCAUUCAUGUGGAUGUUACUUUGACACGUACCACUUAUCUAAACAUUGUUGCAGACCAAGUACACCCCUUCAUGGCACUGGUAUUCCUUAAUAACAGUGGCCUCUUUCUGCAGGAUAAUGCACCCUGACACACUGCAAAAAUUGAUCAAUAACGGUUCGAGGAACAUGACAAAGAGUUCAGGGUGUUGACCCGGCCUCCAAAUUCCCCAGAGCUCAAUCCGAUCAAGCGUCUGUGGGAUGUGCCGGACAAACAAGUCCGAUCCACGGAGGCCCCACUUCGCGACUUUCAGGACUUAAAGGAUCUUCUGCUAACAUCUUGGUUUUUCUAAUGUUGUGUCUGUGCUACAGUAGGCUCCUGUUCGCAGUAGACUACUUGGAGAAAUCCGAGCCCUUGAUGUGUGCUGUCUCACAAACAAGGUCCCAGAUCUGUUCCCGGAUGGAGGAAGCCAUUUUGAGUUGUCUCAGUUCUCUACUGUGCGAUUGGCGACCGAGGCUCAGCCCACAGAGGAAAGGAUCGGCCUAGAAAACUCGUUUUAGGCGUUUAAUCUAAACGCGCUGUGGAGGUAUCUGUAUCUGUGUAUUAACCACGGGUAAAAAGUUGCGGGGUCCCUUUGCUGGCUGGCAAAGAGCGCGUGCGGCCCGUGCGAGGAGGUAAGCGCGUGGUGA